rnacentral:rRNA from 1 species
GAUGAACGCUGGCGGCGUGCUUAACACAUGCAAGUCGAACGAAGCACUUUAUUUGAUUUCCUUCGGGACUGAUUAUUUUGUGACUGAGUGGCGGACGGGUGAGUAACGCGUGGGUAACCUGCCUUGUACAGGGGGAUAACAGUUGGAAACGGCUGCCAAUACCGCAUAAGCGCACGGCAUCGCAUGAUGCAGUGUGAAAAACUCCGGUGGUAUAAGAUGGACCCGCGUUGGAUUAGCUAGUUGGUGAGGUAACGGCCCACCAAGGCGACGAUCCAUAGCCGACCUGAGAGGGUGACCGGCCACAUUGGGACUGAGACACGGCCCAAACUCCUACGGGAGGCAGCAGUGGGGAAUAUUGCACAAUGGGCGAAAGCCUGAUGCAGCGACGCCGCGUGAGCGAAGAAGUAUUUCGGUAUGUAAAGCUCUAUCAGCAGGGAAGAUAAUGACGGUACCUGACUAAGAAGCACCGGCUAAAUACGUG